UAUUCGUUCGUUACACACAACACGACACAAUCUCGAAAAACCGUUUCCCUUCUCUCUCUCUCUCUCUCUCUCGCUCUCUCUCUCUGAGUCCAUGGACGAACAGAGCAAGUACUCGAGCGGACAGCUGGAGACGAGCAAAUCUGAGCGAGCGGUGUGGCUAAUGAAGUGCCCUCCCGUAGUCUCUCGCUCCCUUCAAUGCCCUCCUCCAUUGCCCUUUGACGCCGCCUCCUCCUCCUCCUCCAUAUCCUCUGGCCCCGUCGCAAAGGUCGUAGUCUCCAUCGACCCCCUCCUCCCCAUUGACGACCCCUCUUCUCGUCAGUUCACGAUGGAACUGGCGGCCACUGAAUCUGGAAAUUUACCCAAAUGUUACUCUAUGGAUAUGUCUACAGAUUUCGUCCCAAUGUCCGUGUUUUCUGAGUCAUCCCAAGGAAAACUUUCUGUUGAGGGGAAAAUAUAUCACAAAUUUGACAUGAAACCUCAUAACGAAAACAUCGAGCAGUACGGGAAACUUUGCCGUGAAAGGACAAAGAAGUAUAUGACAAAAAAUAGACAGAUACAGGUGAUUGACAAUGAUAAUGGAACACGUAUGCUGCCCCUGCCAGGGAUGAUUGGUUUGAAGGCCUCUGGACCCAGUGUACUUAUUCCAAGUUAUCCUUUUAAAAAUUUUGGCAAUCUUUUCAUGAUUCCUUCGUUUCUUACUUGUGGCCCUGUGGGUAUACUUUUGGCCCACUGGACAGCGGCAUGGGAUAAAAAGAAAGUACCAGCAAAGGGGUCAGACAUGAAAAGAACCAGAAGGGACCGUGGAGAGAUGGAAGAGAUUAUGUUUAAGCUUUUUGAGAGGCAACCAAACUGGACCUUGAAACAACUGCUUCAUGAGACAGACCAACCUGAACAAUUUCUGAAAGAUUUGCUCAAAGAUCUUUGUGUUUACAACAACAAGGGCAUUCAUCAAGGUACUUACGAGCUCAAGCCAGAAUACAAGAAAUCUGUGGGGGAGCCAGAAUCCGUCUAGCUGCUACGAUGUCCAACUCCUAAUCGAAGGAUCUCAUGUGUUGAUCACACAGUCCUUAUUCUGUAUCUUAGCUGAUUCUGCUCUCUCUUUGGACAUAAUUCAAGGCUAUGGCUCACUCCUGUUUUGAAAGAGCCCUUCCCGAUCCCUGUUGCCGAACCUAUUUGGUCUCAUCUUGUGCGGGUCCUCAGGAGUCGGACUUUGUUGGUCAUGUCUAGUUGUCUACUCGUCUAGGAAGGAAUUUGAUGUACUCGUUUCCCUCUCGUAAGCAGGUGUCAAUUUGGGGUUCUAAAUGAUUUUUACGUGUACAUUAAUCCAUUUUUUGUUUUGUUACUUCUCAGGACAACAGUUUGGUUUUUUAUUCUCGCUUCUUGUAUUUUUCUGAUCA